ensembl:lincRNA
AGACGCACAACAGCAUAGCGUGCUUUUGGUUGUCAUUCAUUGAGGCUACAAACAAGUGGGUAUCAAGCAGAAUCCCACCUGUGUUAAUGGUGAUUGGCCUGGUGACACAGUCGGCAGAUUUUAACUGAUAUGCUACUUGUGUGAAUUACAUUCAAAAGGGCAGCCGCUCGUCUCCUCCGUGGGUGUGACUGGCACUGGUGAGGUGG